UGCUCUCGACAAAUACCGGGCCCCACUCUAAUCUAUAAAUUGUUUUUAAGUAAACAGCCGAGGUCUGUAACACGUCUCAGUAACGGUUCAUCGGUUGUUAUGGCUUGUUUGAUUUAAGCGGCGAUCCCAAGAUACGGUAGUUGAAAAAUGACAGGACUGGAUGACAGGGGUCGCUCCCGGACGAUCCAUCAGGGAAAACGGACGGUGAAUAAUCAUCCAAGGAAUCGGAGGCGAUUUCACGAUGACAGUCAUUCUCUUGUUCGGUGUAACUUUAAAAUAAAUUACCGCUCUUAGAAUGAACGUUAACGCUGGGUCUUAAAACGUUUGCUUAAAGGAUAAAUUGCGCGUGGAUAAUUCGUUUAACACUUGUUUGCGUUUUAUUGGAUUGAAGAGCCCGAUUGUGAGGAAAUGUUUAAAAAGUUAGUGGUCAGUGUUUAAAGGUCGCAUGACACAUGUCAACAAGCGAGGGGUAUUGUUUGCACUGUGUUUCUGUGCACAAGACGGACAACAUAUUUUGCUCUCGCGACUCACGACAAAUAUUGGCUUAAUGGCCUGUCGGAUUACAAAAUAACGCGGUGGGAACUUUGGUAUGACUGGUUGAACGAAACAAUAGCUUUCUAUUAGUUGAAGAAGAGGUUUUGAAAAGUCCAUUUUCUUUGUAUUUGUCUAUAGUUAUAUGUAAUGAGUUUUAAUUCUUAAUAAAGGAAACAAUUGACGUA